UUUUAUUUCCUGGCCUUUGCACAAGCUUUUCCUCCUGCCUCAAACUUUUCCUCUUCUCCUACCCAAACUCUUCUUUUUUUUCCUUUUCAAAACAUUCUUCUUGCAGUGAAGAAUGAAAAUAGGGCUGCAAAGGUAGGAAAUCUUAAUGAAAACUAUUUAAAAUCCGCAGCUGUGGCUGUGAAGGUAGCAUCAGUUAAAAGGAAGAUGAAGAAAGCCCCACAGCUCGGCACCAGUCACAAGGUUUUGGAGGUCCCUCUCAGGUCAGUUCCUGGAACUUGUCACAACCUGAGUGGCUCUCUGGACUGUCAUCUGCAAACCCCAGGCCACAGGACCUGAGCCCAGGUGCCGCUGUCUGUGUGCACAUUCCUUGUGGGCUUUGCUUGAUCUCCUCUCACUGGCUUGUCUUUGUCAGCAGCCGACCUCUGGGAUUUAUAGGCUGCCUUCUCUAUGACCUGAGGCCUUGGGGAUCUGGGCCUGCACGGUGCCCAGGACAGAGGCUGGAACCUCACUGGACAACCAACAAGGACUCGGAGGGGAGCUGAGGUCAGCGCGGGACCCUUUCCUCCCUGCCCCAAACCAGAAGUAGCCACUGCUCGUGGCUCCCAUGAGGCCCUUCCUUCCAGCUGUCAGAGCCUCAGUGUCCACCUCUAGCUGCCCAAGGUGACCACAAAGGGCUCGGUGAGCUGUGGACUGCUACGAAAGGCAAUUGCAAGCCGUGGGCCCAGGCUUUCCAGUGCCGAGCCGCUCAGCAUCUGCUCCUCCCACAGCGCAGCCGCAAAGGAGCCUUCACCUGAAACCAAUCACCCACUUGGAGGCGCAAGUCACCAUGGGAGCCACGGGUGCCCCCUCGUGGUCACAGAGAGGACUGCAGGCCCAGUUUGUUGAGCUGACCAGGCCCGGACCCGGUAUGAGGAAAUGUCCUGAAGUCUCCUGUGGGCCAUAGCCAAGAUGAUGUCCCCCAUGCCCCGAGCCAGCCCUACCCUGCCAAGUCCAAGCCAGGGACGCAGAGUCCAUGCUGCUUCUGGGAACCCCAGGGUUGGGACACGGGAUCGCAGCCCUUAGGCCAUGGAAUUGAAGAGCAGGAUGCCAGUUGUCACCACUGGGGACCUCGGUCCUCACCUCCUUUUUGCCUUUAUUCCCGCCCAGGAAUCUCCUCAGUGUUGUGACUUCAGUUACCGUCAACAGACCUUAAAGCUCCCAAAUUUACCUCUCCACUCAUUCAUUCAUGGAGCAAGUGGUUAUUAAGUGCCUACUGUAUACCAGAUGCCUAUGGACCCUGACUGCAGCUGCCUGCCUGGCAUUUCCCGUGGAGAAGCCCCCUCUGUAUGCUGUGAGCUAUCCCUGGGCCCUAGAGAUGAUGCCAUGGGAGAAGCUAGAGCUGCAUAGCCGAUGGGAACUCAGGCGAGAGUGCUGGAUGAUGCAGGCAACUCUAAGGUCAUAUUCCAGGGUGCAAGGGCACAUAGGACGCUGCAUACAAACAAGGACCUCAGCAUCCGCUCUAAGUGGGAACGCAGACACCGUGGGUGCUGCUGGGAGGCAGGAAUGUCCAUCCAGGCCAUAGCAACAGUGAGCGGGGCAUCUUGCAAGGAGCAGACCCUCCAAACCUAUCAGGCAAUGGCUCUCAAAGACACAGCAGCUCCUUGCCUCCUGAAGGGUGGGGUGGGGGCUGGAUUUCCUCCGGGAGAAACGGGACUUCCCUCUGGGAAUCAGAGCAGCAGAGGGGGCUAGGCAAAGGGGAAGUGGGUGUCUGCUUCGGUGCUGAGGCGGGACACUGAAUGGACCUCUGGCCUAAACACUGACAUACUGCAUGCACUUGUAAAUUGGGGGGUAUAUCUUCGGGGUAUGUCUGUCUGUCUUGGCUCCUGAAGACCACAGAAAGAGCACAGAAUGAUAGCCAACCUCUCUACUCCCACCGGGGGCAGAAGGAGGGGCCAGGCUAAGAGCUCUGCCAGCAGAUCAAAGCAACCGUGUCUGCAGACAGAGUGGGCACAGGAGGUGGGAACAUGAUGCUCCCCUGUUCUGAUGAAAGGAACCUGCACCCCAAACGUGGGGACUGGCAGCCAAUCCACUGUCCUGCAAGGAGAUGGAAGUGGACUGCUGCAGGACAUUCCCAGCCUGGAAGUGCCUGGGAGGCAGGAUGCAUUUGUGAUGAGAGGACACCUCCUUGCCAUGGUCCUGGGGUGGGGGGUGGGGCCUCAGGGCAGGGAACACCGGAAGCAGCUGCGUUCUGGAGUACAGGCAGGAAGUGCAUUGGUGCGCAUGCUCUGUGGGGCGGUGCUGCGCAGGUCUAAUUCUGUCCAGAGUCCCAGCAGUCUAGCGUUACUAUGGCCACAUAGUAAUGACAGGAAACCCAGUCUCCAUGGAGGUUGGACUCUAGAUUUGUAAUCUCCUGCAACAGGAGAGAAGGAGGGGGCAAGCAGAGCUUGGGUGCAGCACCCCUCCUGGGACGCCCUGACACUUAGCUUCACCUCCCUAGGAACUGGGAUGUGGCCGGAAGCCUUUGGCAUUCUUUCCCUUCGUGAGCCUUCUUUCAGCUAACUCUGCCAGCAGGGAUGUGCUCUGUGGCUCUUCCAAGGGGCACCCAGCAGAAAGAAGUAGCCUCAGUUCAGUCCCUGGGUCCUAGCUUGGUCCCUGCCUGGUCUCUGCCCACUUGGUACCCAGUAGCAUGUCCUGUACGGCUGAGGUUCUCGAUAAACACCUUCCUCCAGAUGGACAGAGCGUGGUAGGGCCACGGUGGAACACAGAGCUUGGAGAGCAGUUCGGGGAGUCCUGAUCCUGUUCCUACUGAGGCCCUCUCCACCUCGUCCUCCUGGCCCCUCCCUGGCUGCCACGGACCCUGCCCAGCCCAGCCACACUCAAGGUGCCACCCACUCCUCAAGAUUUAACUCUAACACCAAGGGAAGGUUUUCCUUUCCCAAGAAAAUCUGCAGUAGGCAGCAAUUCUGUGGGGUUACCAUACACCUGCUAUAGUUUGAUGUUUUCAAAGAAAAUAGUUCACCUAAUUGGUCCUUUACUUGUCAUUAGCAUCAUUUGCCUGAGACACACUUCAUGGCUUGGUUGAGACACCAUAGUUGAAGACUUCAUUCCAUUGUUAAUGAACCCUAAGCCUACCCUCACGGCUUCCUAUGAUACCUGGUCUCCCUUUGCCUAGGAUUCUGCCGCUCCUCUGCCUUCUGUACAGCCUGAAGUCUUAGCUCAAGUACCGCUCUCUCUAGGAAGCCCCCCCUCUCUGACCUCUCCCCUACACUGGGACACCGUGGUUCUCAUGCAUCUCCCUGGAGGCACCGGGUUUUCGCUGUUCACUUGCUUCCCAGCCUACCUCCCGCUCACCAUGGUGCCCGGAAGGGCCUGACCACGUAGUUCAACCAGAGGGAAUCCAGCAUGGAGGAAGAGAAGCAGGAAGAAGCCUGCGCACCAGGAGCCCUCUUUACCGUUUUGUUAUGAGUUGUUUCCAUCUGCCGAAAGCGUCUGCCCGCAGGUUCUCCUGCAGGUGUCUCAUCUUGCCCUUGUCGGGCAGAAGGAAGGUGGCCGUGAAGUUGCCCUGGUAGGGAAUCUCCAGGAUGGUGCAGAAGAGCUGCUUGUCAUAGCCCAUGUCGUAUAGCCCCGCUCGGAACAUCAUGGGCACCUUCACUGCUUGGGUCCUGCUCACAAAGAAGUCUUCCUCCUUCGUUUGUUUUGGAUCAAACUCAUGUUCCCACCUGGCUUAGGAUUGAAGAAGGACAAAAGUAACAUGAGUGUCCCGAUGGUAAGAAGGUGACCAGAUCUGACUUCCAUUGGUGGCUGGCUACAGAGAUUCAGAGUAAGGGAUAUGGAUAUUCGGAUGUCACAGUAAGACCCUAGGAAUCCCUGCCCUUCUUCCAUGUCCUGAAGACUUCUGGGGUGGUAGGGUCAGCUCUAAAUGAAGCCAGGACCUCGACUGCUGACCAGGAAAGGGAGCAGGCCCUCUCCAUGCCCCAAUGCUGCUGAGGCUUCUCUGUUCGACCUCGAGAAUCUACAAAGUCUGAUAGGGAGAUGAAGCCAUCUACCUAAGUAACCAUCGUCACUGUGACCCACACAGUCACCAUCCUGGGCAGGUCGUGGAAGUUGACAGGAAGAAUGUCCGCAUUGUAUAUGUUCCUGGCCACUCUCAGGAACUUCUGCUGGGGCUCCAGCUUCCGGUCCAUGAACAUGGUGUUGCCGAAGAGCAGCUUGAUGUCCUCCUUCUCCUGGUUCAGCUGGUAGAGGAAGCGGUGGAAGGCUUGGUGCAGGUCCCUAUCCGGCAUCCCCUUAAAGUUGAAGCCCUCCUUGAUCUCGGCCAGCGUUGAGUCUUGGGCCCCCAGACACAGCAGGGAGAAGGCAGAGGAGAUGCUCAAGGGCGAGAAGAAGACGUUCUUCCUGGGGCUGUUGGCAGCCAGCUUCCUGAGCAUCUUGAGGCCAAAUUCCAUGUUGCGCUUGGCCACAUUCUGGGCGUUCAUUUCUUCCUUCCAUCCUCGGGGGUAAACCUUAGUCAUCAAGAUCGGAGAAGAGAAGAUGGGCUUCCGCUGCCCUUCUGUGGUGAGGAGGCCAGCCAGGAAGAGGCCCAGGCCCAGACUCAGGCCCAGCGUGAGGUUCAUUGUCCUUGGAGAUUGUCCUGCUGAGUAGCAGAUCUGAGUUAGCGGGAAAAAUCACAAAGGUGCUCCCUUGUUUCUAUCUGGUUCCCAAAGAAGCCCAGGUACAAAGGCCAGUGGAGGGGCCAGCGAUGUGGAGAGGCAUCUCACCACUCAGCUUUAGUGCCAUCCCAGGGAGGAGGAAUGGUUAGCCUCGCUUCACGCGUGAGAGUUGAGCACUGUUUGCUUGUUUUUGAAGAGCAGGAGAAUUUAGUGGAAGAAAGGAAUGAGGAAUGGGAAUAGGGAACAGGAGAGACCGGAGGGGACCCUGACCCUCGGUGGGUUGUUAGUGAACCUUCUUCUCUUUCUUUGUUUCUAGUUUUUUUUUGUUUGUGGGGGGUGGUUUUAAAACAGAGUCUCUCUGUGCAGUUCAGGCUGGCCUUGAACUCACUUUGUAGCCCAGCCUGAACUCAAACUUGGGCCAUCCUCCUGCCUCAGCCUCCAGAGGGCUGGGACUCCAGGGGGUAUGCCACAAUGCCUGGCUUUAGUGAGCCUGCUUUUCGAAGGAACAAAAUUAUGAGGCAGGUACAAUGUGGGUCAAAAUUAUGAUCAAUUAAUAAGAUGAAAAGUAUGGUCACUUAAGUAGUAUUGAUCCUGUGGUAGCAAGGGCAUACGGAUGACAUCACUGACCUUGGCCGAUGACCUAGAGUCUUGUCUUUAGUCUUAGUCUUAGUUUUAGUUUGUCUUAGUCUUAGUGGGUGGGAGACGAUGGUCCACUUAUAAUAAUAAUGGGGAAUCCGAAAGGGGUGAUACCAAUAACCUCAAGAAGAUUCCGGCUCUUGUCCCCUCCUCUCCCAUAUCACCCUGGCAGUGAUUCAGUUCCCUUGAGGGACCUCUGUCCGUCACUGUAGCUUUCUGCAUCCUGGACAUGAUGCCUAGAAUCUGCCACUUUAAUCCUCCAACCUUUGCCCUGUGGGUUAUUAAAGAAUGAGAGGCUAGCUAACAUCAGAUCCCUCUGUGUCUUUCCUGGCAGCAGAGCAUGGCAGGCAGGCUGGCACUGCAUGCUGCCCGCUGGAGCACCAAGCAGGAGAGAAGAGCACACAUUCCAGGGCUUUCAGGGGAGCUGGCGCUGGAGCCGCGCCCCCUCUACCCUGUGUCAGGAGCUCUGUCCUCUGGUCCCAUGGCCUCCUGAAAACAAAUUUUCAAUUCAAACCCAGGGGUUCUCAAAGCACCUUCCGCUCCAGGGACUACCUUUGGUAAAAUUAGGAAAGCUGGUGAUGGAUGAGCAGGAGCUCCCUGGCUGCCCGAGGAACUCGCUCAGCAGGGUGUGGUGGCCGCGAAGCUGCGAAGCCCAGAGGGAGCUGGCCGAGCUGCACCUGUGAGUCAGGCAGGCUGUGCCCGCCCAGCCCAGUGUGGGGAGACUGCUGGGCUCCGCCCGGAAGACACUCCUGGAGCACCCUACGCACACAGAUCAGUGGCAGAGAUCCUUUGCUGACCCCCAAAAGCGUUCCUGUUUCCCUGAGUUUCUGAGGUGAGGUCUGAGUGGGGAAUGGCACUGUUCUGCUGGUUGGACAGCAGGAGGCCAGUUCCCUGGUCCUUCGGACACCAGCACCCUCACCUAGUAAAUGUCAGCGAGAGCUCAUCCUCCUCCCCGCAAAGGCUGCCCUGGAGCUGGAGGCCACCCCUGGGGUCUUAACUUCCUCCUACCCAGGAGUCUGGGUCAGAGAGCAUCCUCUGGAUCCGCUCAGGCCUUCUGCCCUGCCUCCACCCGGUAUAAACAGCCUGGGCCUUCCCAUCGUUCAUCCUGGUCCCUAAACUGACCCAAAUUUGUCAUGUAGGUUAGACGCCCAAGUAGGCUAAACUUCUUUCCAUCAAUUAAAAUAGCUGAGCAACUAAUUAAUGCCUAAUAAACUGACAGGUUGCUCCCUGGGUUGAGCAAUUCUC